GCUUCUGACUGAAUUGUUCUGGUUAAUCUCAAAUUACUGAGGCAAUUGUUCCAGUGCUUUGGAUCCUUCUUAUUCUGUGGCUUCAAGUGCCUCCAAUGACUGGCAAGUAAAUAGUAGAUUGUGUCCAUCACUAACGUCUUAUAUUGCCAAUACCUGUAGCUUUACUCUGGGCAUCAGAGAAUGUACCAGAAGUAGAGAGCUUCUUAUAAUUUUUUUUUCAUAUUAAAAGAGCAGAGAAUAAGAAAGGAAGACUUCUGAUCUCUCUCUAUUCACUUAAAUUGAGAUUUGCUGAAAUCUUUUUUUUCCUGAAUUCUUAUUAGACUAUUAGAAAUUCAAGGAGCUUAUUUAAUAACUUUUAAUUUCUCAUUUUUAGGUGCCAUCAGAAAAGAGAGAAGAAAUUAAAAGUAAAAACAAAAACAGAAAAGAAGCACCCUACUAACUAUUGUGUUCAGUUAGAAACACUAUGAAAGAGUUUCAAUUCAUCAUUAAUUGUUGUAAAUACAAAUUUGUGACUGUAUAUUAGUACACAAAAUUGUCAAUACUACAAGGACUAUAACAGAAUUAAAUGAUUGGAAGACUUCCUUGAAGUUCAGAAAAUGAGGCAGAGAUACCAAUUUUAAAGUAUGGAGUGUUCUGAGGACAAUGAUGGACUGUACUGGGCAACACUACAAGUAUGAAACUUAAGGACAGUAUACAGUCUGGAAGAAGCCAAACAGAAGAGCACAUUCUAUCCCUUUUUAAUGAUCAAUGUUCAUCAUACAAAUAUCUGCAGACAGAAAGAUUAGGAAUUGACGGAGGCUUAGGAGGGUUGAGAAGGUCUGGUCUUCACUAACAGCAGUCACAUCUCACGAUUUCUUCAUCAAUGCCUCAUGCACAGGUGGGUCAUUUCACACUGCUUACCUGUUCUUUAUUUUCCGUGACACCAUCUCCAGUAUUAAACCAAGUCAAAGACAAAUCUAGCGUGAAACAUGUGUGAAGGGUCAAGAGGACAUAUGAACCCAGGACUAUUAGUGUGACAUAAGCUCAGGGAAGCAUUGUGGACAUUCACAUGUGACACAAUAUGGUGAACAAUGGUGUGGGAAGGACAAGUACUU
rnacentral:lncRNA from 1 species